UGGGGAAUUUUGGACAAUGGGCGAAAGCCUGAUCCAGCAAUGCCGCGUGUGUGAAGAAGGCCUUCGGGUUGUAGAGCACUUUUGUCCGGAAAGAAAUCCUUGGCUCUAAUACAGUCGGGGGAUGACGGUACCGGAAGAAUAAGCACCGGCUAACUACGUGCCAGCAGCCGCGGUAAUACGUAGGGUGCAAGCGUUAAUCGGAAUUACUGGGCGUAAAGCGUGCGCAGGCGGUUUGCUAAGACCGAUGUGAAAUCCCCGGGCUCAACCUGGGAACUGCAUUGGUGACUGGCAGGCUAGAGUAUGGCAGAGGGGGGUAGAAUUCCACGUGUAGCAGUGAAAUGCGUAGAGAUGUGGAGGAAUACCGAUGGCGAAGGCAGCCCCCUGGGCCAAUACUGACGCUCAUGCACGAAAGCGUGGGGAGCAAACAGGAUUAGAUACCCUGGUAGUCCACGCCCUAAACGAUGUCAACUAGUUGUUGGGGAUUCAUUUCCUUAGUAACGUAGCUAACGCGUGAAGUUGACCGCCUGGGGAGUACGGUCGCAAGAUUAAAACUCAAAGGAAUUGACGGGGUCAU
rnacentral:rRNA from 1 species